CUACGGGCGGCUCCAGUGAGGAAUUUUGCGCAAUGGGGGAAACCCUGACGCAGCAACGCCGCGUGAGCGAAGAAGGCCUUCGGGUCGUAAAGCUCUGUCAAGUGGGAAAAAAAUUCUUUGAUGAACAGUCAAAGGACUUGAUGGUACCACUGGAGGAAGCACCGGCUAACUCCGUGCCAGCAGCCGCGGUAAUACGGAGGGUGCAAGCGUUGCUCGGAAUUACUGGGCGUAAAGAGCGUGUAGGCGGUUUGACAAGUCAGAUGUGAAAGCCCCGGGCUCAACCCGGGAAGUGCAUUUGAACUGUUUCACUAGAGUAUGGGAGAGGAGAUUGGAACUCCUGGUGUAGAGGUGAAAUUCGUAGAUAUCAGGAGGAACACCCGUGGCGAAGGCGAUUCUCUGGACCAAUACUGACGCUGAGGCGCGAAAGCGUGGGGAGCAAACAGGAUUAGAUACCCCGGUAGUC
rnacentral:rRNA from 1 species